GACGAACGCUGGCGGCGUGCUUAACACAUGCAAGUCGAACGGAAAGGCCCUGCUUUUGUGGGGUGCUCGAGUGGCGAACGGGUGAGUAACACGUGAGUAACCUGCCCUUGACUUUGGGAUAACUUCAGGAAACUGGGGCUAAUACCGGAUAGGAGCUCCUGCUGCAUGGUGGGGGUUGGAAAGUUUCGGCGGUUGGGGAUGGACUCGCGGCUUAUCAGCUUGUUGGUGGGGUAGUGGCUUACCAAGGCUUUGACGGGUAGCCGGCCUGAGAGGGUGACCGGCCACAUUGGGCCUGAGAUACGGCCCAGACUCCUACGGGAGGCAGCAGUGGGGAAUAUUGCACAAUGGGCGGAAGCCUGAUGCAGCAACGCCGGGUGCGGGAUGACGGCCUUCGGGUUGUAAACCGCUUUCGCCUGUGACGAAGCGUGAGUGACGGUAAUGGGUAAAGAAGCACCGGCUAACUACGUG
rnacentral:rRNA from 1 species